CGCGCUCCGCGGGGCAGGACGGGCCAGGCCAGCCCCGCGAGGGAGGGCGGCGGAGGCGGGGCCGGAGCCGGGCGGCGCUGUCAGUGCGGAGCUGAGCGGAAUGCAACGGCCCGAGGCCUGGCCACGUCCGCACCCAGGGGAGGGGGCCGCCGCGGAGAAAGAGGCGGCAGCCCGGGGGGGAACGGCGCAGGGCGCUGGGGCCACGGAGCCCCCGGGGCUGCGGUUGCAGGAACCAUCUCUCUACACUGUCAAAGCAGUUUUCAUCCUGGAUAAUGAUGGACAUCGGCUUUUGGCCAAGUAUUAUGAUGAUACAUUCCCCUCCAUAAAGGAGCAGAAAGCCUUUGAGAAAAAUGUCUUCAACAAGACCAAUAGGACCAACAGCGAGAUUGCCUUUUUUGGGGGCAUGACCAUUGUCUACAAGAGCAGCAUCGACCUUUUCCUGUAUGUGGUAGGCUCAUCCCAGGAGAAUGAGGUGAUGCUCAUGUCGGUCCUCACCUGCCUAUUUGAUUCCCUGAACCAUGUAUUGCGGAGGAACAUAGAGAAACGUUCAUUGGUGGAGAACAUGGAUGGCGCCUUCUUGGUGGUGGACGAGAUCGUGGAUGGCGGUGUAAUUCUGGAGAAUGAUCCCCAGCAAGUGAUUCAGAAAGUGAACUUCAGGGUCGAUGACAGCGGCCUGUCUGAGCAGAGUGUGGCCCAGGCCCUUCUGCCCAGACUAAUCCUGUUUGCAUGAAGCUCCCUGCUCCAGGCAUUCACUAACUAACAGGCAUUCUUCCCCUGCAACGGUAACUGAGGCCAGAGGACUCGCUCGUGUUCAUUCUGUCUCUUGCACUGGGCUCCAGGUUCUACAGUCUGCCAAGGAGCAAAUUAAGUGGUCUUUACUAAAGUGAAAACCAUAGGAGCCAAACCUGCCUGCCUGCCCCAAGGACCAUUUCCUCAGUUCCGUAAAAUGCUGAGGACACAGAGAGACAAGAAGGUCCCCUUCCCUUUUACCCUCCCCAGGCCUCCUCCUAAUACUAAUGCAGAACCCUGAGUUCUUGACCUCUGAUACAUUGACCAGAGGGGACCCUAUCCUUUGAGUCAUAAAAUCUCAGAGCUGAAAGGGACUUUGUAUCCAGACAUCCAAACAGGCAUUCCCUCUGCAGUAUCCUGAAGGGGGACAACCAGCCUCCACUUGAAGACUUCCA